GCGCAUCUAGCUCAGUUGCGUAGAGCGCUCGCACGGCGUGCGAGAGGUCGAGGGUUCGAGUCCCUUGAUGCGCA
rnacentral:tRNA from 1 species